UUAGAUUAUGUACUAAAAUUAAUUAAUUUAUUAAUUAUUCCAAUUAAAUUAUCAACUUACGGCUUUAUUACGGCGUUUUAUUUUUUUAAAUUUAAAAUAAUUAUUUUUUGAAAAAAAAAAAUAUAUAAAUAUAUCGUGAGGACGCCAACUGAUCGACUGAUUUUAUUCUUUAGACUUUAGACACGGUUUUACCAAGAGCCGGCUUCCAAAACACAGACAUGAAUAUACUCACACAUAUAUAGAUAAAUAUAAAUGUAUAUUUUAUAUAAUAUAGAUAUUUAAUUGAUUUUUUAUCAGCGGAAAAUCCUACUCCGAAAACUAUACCUAAAAAAAAAAAAUAGUCACGUGCACAGACAUCGGAUUGUCAACUUGAUUUUUCAUCAUCCGUAACUUCAAUAAUAAACUAAAAUAAAAAACUGAU